rnacentral:rRNA from 1 species
UGAGGGAUAUUGGUCAAUGGGCGCAAGCCUGAACCAGCGACGCCGCGUGGGUGAAGAAGGUCUUCGGAUCGUAAAGCCCUUUUCCCACUGAAGAGGAAGGACGGUAGGUGGGGAAGAAGUCUCGGCUAACUACGUGCCAGCAGCCGCGGUAAAACGUAGGAGACAAGCGUUAUCCGGAGUUACUGGGCGUAAAGGGCGUGCAGGUGGCGUCUUAAGUCUGUUGUGAAAGCGCCUGGCUUAACCGGGCGAGGCCAAUGGAGACUGAGAGGCUGGAGGACGGCGGAGGGGUGUGGAAUUCCGGGUGUAGUGGUGAAAUGCGUAGAUAUCAAGAGGAACACCUGAGGCGAAGGCGGGUUGCUGGGCCGACACUGACGCUGAUGCGCGAAAGCCAGGGGAGCAAACG